rnacentral:lncRNA from 1 species
UUUUUUUUUUGGUAAAAUGUUAAAUUUUAUACCAAUUUUAAUUUUUGACAGAGAUUACAGAGAAAACAAAGAAAGCAGAGUAAUUAAAAUCUAAAACUAAGACUAAGAAACAGCAGAAACCAAAAAAUGGUCACAAUCAACAAGAACACAUCUAAGCAACUAGAAGAUCCAACAUGUAGAAACACCGAUUCCAAACCCUAAAGCUCGGACAUUUGUGUUGUUGCCACAGAUCCUAAGAUCUUGAGUCCUCAUCGUCGUUGCCACGAGCAUCACCACUUAAGGCUGCCCUCAAAACCUCAAACGCGGGUAACGCCUACAGCUUCUCCGAAGACUAACACAAAAACGAGACAACUUCAAACAACAAGUUACAUCUAGCGGCACAGGAGCUUCUACGGGCAGUCAGAGAAGCCGCCUCCGACCACAUCCUCAAGCUAAAGUAGCCUCGAGAAUCAUCUCCCACAGAUGCAACAAUGUCGCCAAAGCCAAAUCGCCGCCUCUAUUCUACACCGUCACCACCAGCGCUUCAACGGAACAAAUCAAAGCCGAAGAUGAACCACUUCAGGACCUGUGAAACCAAGCCAAAAGAACACAAACAACGCAAGAAACGGAGGAGCCACACCGGAACCUACAGAUCUGAGAAAACCAGAGAGUAAACACCAAAAGUAGAUCUCUGAAAUCCACCUCUGCUGAAGCACCACCACCAGCCGUCGCCAGGGAGAGCUCACGCUGGAGUAGCCCAAACCCAACACUUCCGUCCUAGCCGCACCCGCGAAGGAGAAGCCACACGCAUCGGAGACAGAUGCCACCUAACCAGGGUGAAACCGCAAACCUUAUCCACUGCAUCUGACUGGAUGUGAGAGCAGUCCUCAAACUCUCAACCACCGUGAAAGAGCAGAGGGGAUAGCGAACGUCACUAUCUCAUCUUGAACGAGGACAAAGAUGAGACCAAGAGGAGCAGUGAAACCGCUGGAGAGGCGCCAAGGACGCCACGCGCACACACCAGAUAGAUCCGCCACAACUACUGCCGGAGAGUCUGCCUCAAGCCCGUGACCUAUCGUCUUUUCUGCUAAAACUGAACAAGCAGAGAAGAAAGCCGAUGAAUGAAAAAAAAAAGAGAAAGGAGAGAAGGCCUCUCCGGACGGAGGCACGAGGCCAACCGCCGGAGAAACA